rnacentral:rRNA from 1 species
GAUGAACGCUAGCGGCAGGCCUAACACAUGCAAGUCGAGGGAUAAGCCUUCGGGCUAAGACCGGCGCACGGGUGCGUAACGCGUAUACAAUCUGCCUUUUAUCCGGGGGAUAGCCCGAAGAAAUUUGGAUUAAUACCCUAUGGUAUAAGAGCACGGCAUCGUGCACUUAUUAAAGCUACGGCGGUAAAAGAUGAGUAUGCGUUCUAUUAGCUAGUUGGAGAGGUAACGGCUCCCCAAGGCGACGAUAGAUAGGGGUUCUGAGAGGGAUGUCCCCCACACUGGUACUGAGAUACGGACCAGACUCCUACGGGAGGCAGCAGUGAGGAAUAUUGGACAAUGGUCGGAAGACUGAUCCAGCCAUGCCGCGUGCAGGAUGACGGCCUUAUGGGUUGUAAACUGCUUUUGUAAGGGAAGAAUAAGGAGUACGUGUACUUUGAUGACGGUACCUUACGAAUAAGCAGCGGCUAACUCCGUG